rnacentral:rRNA from 1 species
ACUGGACAGACCUUCUUUGCUCUGGGGUCACUGAUUAUUUUGAGUUCUCAGGCAGUUUAUUSACACUCUCCCCAAGGAAGGGKAAAGAUUGUUGAGAUUGGAAGACAUACGAUAGCGAAAGCCAUAASUGAUUUGGAUCUGACACUAGGUACGAAAGUAUGGGGAUAAAUAGGAGUGUAGAAACCUAGUAGUCCAUACCUUAAACAAUGAGUGUUCAACGUCUAUUUACAAUUAUUUAUAAGUCGAGAGGGGGGGUUUAAAGCCAACGCGUGAAACACCGCCGGGGGAAUGUGGCCGCAAGGUUAAACUCAAAAGAAUUGACGGAAGCUUAUACAGGGGUGGAGAUGUGGUUUAAAUUCGAGA